AAGGAAAAGAGAGAUCCUUGAUAGAAGAGCAGUCGGUUCAAGAAGAGCCGAGCCAAUCGAGUGAAAGUGAAGAAUCGGCUGAUGAAGCCGAGAUAUAUGCGACUGAUAAAGAGUCACUUUCUUCAAAGAGAAAUCCUUGAUAGAAGAACAGUUGAUUCAAGAAGAGCCGAGCUAAUAAAGUAAAAGCAAAGAAUCGGCUGAUGAAGCCGAGGUAUAUACGGCUAGGAUGGUAAAGAGUCACUUCCUUUAAGCCGACCAAGACUAGCGAAAUUAAGCUCGAGUCUCGGCUGUGUCAUUCAGCCGUUGAUUUGGCACCAAUAGUCAUUCGAACGUUCAUUCGAAAGACUAUUGGGAGGGCAUUAUUGAUACCAAAAA
rnacentral:lncRNA from 1 species